GACCAGGUAGCUUAAUGUCAAGAGCGUUGUUUUUUUAAAGGCGGUUGUUUUUUCAAAGGCAAAGGUGGCGGUGCGAAUCCGUUCUCAGGUCC
rnacentral:tRNA from 2 species